GUGGUAGUCGUAUAGCGGCCUAGUACCUCUGCUUUCCAAGCAGAUGACGCGAGUUCAAAUCUCGCCUACCACACCU
rnacentral:tRNA from 1 species